rnacentral:rRNA from 1 species
UACGGAGGAUCCAAGCGUUAUCCGGAAUCAUUGGGUUUAAAGGGUCCGUAGGUGGACGGUUAAGUCAGAGGUGAAAUCCUGCAGCUCAACUGUAGAAUUGCCUUUGAUACUGGUCGUCUUGAGUCGUUGUGAAGUGGUUGGAAUAUGUAGUGUAGCGGUGAAAUGCAUAGAUAUUACAUAGAACACCGAUUGCGAAGGCAGAUCACUAACAACGUACUGACACUGAUGGACGAAAGCGUGGGGAGCGAACAGG